rnacentral:rRNA from 1 species
UACGUAGGGUGCAAGCGUUGUUCGGAAUCAUUGGGCGUAAAGCGCGUGUAGGCGGUUAGUAAAGUCGAUUGUGAAAUACCUGGGCUCAACCGAGGAAGUGCAGUCGAAACUAAUUAGCUAGAGGACGGCAGAGGAAGGUGGAAUUCCAAGUGUAGAGGUGAAAUUCGUAGAUAUUUGGAGGAAUACCGGUGGCGAAGGCGGCCUUCUGGACCGUUCCUGACGCUGAGACGCGAAAGCGUGGGGAGCAAACAGG